rnacentral:rRNA from 1 species
GACGAACGCUGGCGGCGUGCUUAACACAUGCAAGUCGAACGGAAAGGCCCUGCUUUUGUGGGGUGCUCGAGUGGCGAACGGGUGAGUAACACGUGAGUAACCUGCCCUUGACUUUGGGAUAACUUCAGGAAACUGGGGCUAAUACCGGAUAGGAGCUCCUGCUGCAUGGUGGGGGUUGGAAAGUUUCGGCGGUUGGGGAUGGACUCGCGGCUUAUCAGCUUGUUGGUGGGGUAGUGGCUUACCAAGGCUUUGACGGGUAGCCGGCCUGAGAGGGUGACCGGCCACAUUGGGACUGGGAUACGGCCCAGACUCCUACGGGAGGCAGCAGUGGGGAAUAUGGCACAAUGGGCGGAAGCCUGAGGCAGCAACGCCGCGUGCGGGAUGACGGCCUUCGGGUUGUAAACCGCUUUCGCCUGUGACGAAGCGUGAGUGACGGUAAUGGGUAAAGAAGCACCGGCUAACUACGU